rnacentral:tRNA from 1 species
GAGGAUGUAGCUCAGUGGUAGAGUACUUGCCUGGCAUGCAUAAGGCCUUAAGUUUGAGUCUCAGUACCCCCA